rnacentral:rRNA from 1 species
CCUACGGGUGGCAGCAGUGAGGAAUAUUGGUCAAUGGCCGAGAGGCUGAACCAGCCAAGUCGCGUGAGGGAAGACGGCCCUACGGGUUGUAAACCUCUUUUGUCGGGGAGCAAAGAGAGUCACGUGUGACUCAUUGAGAGUACCCGAAGAAAAAGCAUCGGCUAACUCCGGGCCAGCAGCCGCGGUAAUCCGGAGGAUGAGAGCGUUAUCCGGAUUUAUUGGGUUUAAGGGGGGCGCAGGCGGAGGUGCAAGUCAGCGGUAAAAUUGCGGGGCUCAACCCCGUACUGCCGUUGAAACUGCAUCCCUUGAGUGCGCGAGAAGUAUGCGGAAUGCGUGGUGUAGCGGUGAAAUGCAUAGAUAUCACGCAGAACUCCGAUGGCGAAGGCAGCAUACCGGCGCGCAACUGACGCUCAUGCACGAAAGCGUGGGUAUCGAACAGGAUUAGAUACCCCAGUAGUC